CUCGUCCCAAGAGUCAUCCAGGUCGUACAGAGGCUCAAAGUUCUCCACCAGGGGAUCUGCUCCUGCGAAGUCAAGUUACACAGCGUUAGCUGCAGCCUGAUCUCUGGGGCAGUAAGUGUCACCUGACCACGGAAACAGUAGAGAAACUAGGAUGAACAAUUUGCAGGACCAAAGAUGGAGAAGCUGAACUAGGAAGAGAGGAUUGAAUUGGAAUAACACCUUCAAAUCCUUGAGCAAAACGGGACAGAAACACAGCAGAGAGAAUAGAGUCUGGAAGUUAGGGUGACGAGGUGUGACUCACAGCUCUGCCCCUUACUGGGGCCCUGGGACUGGGAUGCAGAAGUCUCUCUAGUCUGUUUCCUUGGCUAUAAAAUGGGACUAAUAAUGGGAUUUGUCUUAAAGGGUUAUUGUGGAUUAAGUAAGACUAAAUGAGACAGUGCAUGUGAAGUGCCUAGCCCAACAGAAGCUAGCGAUUUUUAGUGCCUGGCACAUGACAGUACUCAACACACAGCCCAUUUGUUUUUUCCUAUUACUUUGGCUUCUCAGGGACCUUUCUUGCAAAAGGAAGUCUUUAAAUCAUUUCUUAUACAAAUAAACUUUUCCUUCUGAGGACUUGUGACAUGACCUGAGGUGGAUACUGCUCCGAGUUCUACAGGGAAUUCGAUUCAGCGUUAAGAAGAUCUCUUGUCAUGGGAGUCAGUGAAGACAACCCACAUCCAACACAAACAGGAGCAGGCAGCCAGCCAAGGAGAUGUUGUCGUGCUCCACGGCCAGAUGCAGCGCCGUGCGCCCCGACUUCCGCUCCUGCGCGUUGAC